rnacentral:rRNA from 1 species
GAAUAUUGGACAAUGGGGGGAACCCUUAUCCAGCCAUGCCGCGUGUGUGAAGAAGGCCUUUUGGUUGUAUAGCACUUUAAGCGAGGAGGAGGCUCCUCUAGUUAAUACCUAGAGAAAGUGGACGUGACUCGCAGACUAAGCACCGGCUACCCCUGUGCCCGCCGCCGCGGUAAUACAGAGGGUGCAAGCGUUAAUCGGAUUUACUGGGCGUAAAGCGCGCGUAGGUGGCCAAUUAAGUCAAAUGUGAAAUCCCCGAGCUUAACUUGGGAAUUGCAUUCGAUACUGGUUGGCUAGAGUAUGGGAGAGGAUGGUAGAAUUCCAGGUGUAGCGGUGAAAUGCGUAGAGAUCUGGAGGAAUACCGAUGGCGAAGGCAGCCAUCUGGCCUAAUACUGACACUGAGGUGCGAAAGCAUGGGGAGCAAAC